rnacentral:piRNA from 1 species
UAACUUUGAUCCAAAUCNGGCUUAGGGCCAC